GGGUGCUUAGCUCAGUUGGUAGAGCAAAUGACUCUUAAUCAUUUGGUCGUGGGUUCGAAUCCCCCAGCACCCACCA
rnacentral:tRNA from 1 species